rfam:Populus trichocarpa isolate Nisqually-1 chromosome 7, whole genome shotgun sequence.
AGAUGAAGAUGAUGAAAGUAAUUUAUGUGAGUGAUGAUCAACUUCAUAUGAUCAAUAAAUACUUACUUUAUCGCUACGUUCUUUCUGAUUCAUAU